UCAGAGAGAGACACCAGACCCUGAACAAGCCCGAUCCCAUCUGAUCUCGGAAGCUAAGCAGAGUCAAGUCUGGUUAGUACUUGGAUGGGAGACCACCUAGGAAGACCAGUUGCUGUAGGCA
rnacentral:rRNA from 1 species